GAUGAACGCUGGCGGCGUGCCUAAUACAUGCAAGUAGAACGCUGAAGGAAGGAGCUUGCUCUUUCCGGAUGAGUUGCGAACGGGUGAGUAACGCGUAGGUAACCUGCCUGGUAGCGGGGGAUAACUAUUGGAAACGAUAGCUAAUACCGCAUAACAGUAGAUGUUGCAUGAUAUCUACUUAAAAGGUGCAAUUGCACCACUACCAGAUGGACCUGCGUUGUAUUAGCUAGUUGGUGAGGUAACGGCUCACCAAGGCGACGAUACAUAGCCGGCCUGAGAGGGUGAUCGGCCACACUGGGACUGAGACACGGCCCAGACUCCUACGGGAGGCAGCAGUAGGGAAUCUUCGGCAAUGGACGGAAGUCUGACCGAGCAACGCCGCGUGAGUGAAGAAGGUUUUCGGAUCGUAAAGCUCUGUUGUAAGAGAAGAACGAGUGUGAGAGUGGAAAGUUCACACUGUGACGGUAUCUUACCAGAAAGGGACGGCUAACUACGUG
rnacentral:rRNA from 1 species